AGAGUUUGAUCAUGGCUCAGGACGAACGCUGGCGGCGUGCUUAACACAUGCAAGUCGAACGAUGAAGCUGGAGCUUGCUCCAGUGGAUUAGUGGCGAACGGGUGAGUAACACGUGAGCAAUCUGCCCUUGACUCUGGGAUAACUGCGGGAAACUGUAGCUAAUACCGGAUACGACACCUUGGGGCAUCCCGAGGUGUGGAAAGAAUUUCGGUCAAGGAUGAGCUCGCGGCCUAUCAGCUUGUUGGUGAGGUAAAAGCUCACCAAGGCGACGACGGGUAGCCGGCCUGAGAGGGUGACCGGCCACACUGGAACUGAGAUACGGUCCAGACUCCUACGGGAGGCAGCAGUGGGGAAUAUUGCACAAUGGGCGCAAGCCUGAUGCAGCAACGCCGCGUGAGGGAUGAAGGCCUUCGGGUUGUAAACCUCUUUUAUCAGGGAAGAAGCGAAAGUGACGGUACCUGAAGAAAAAGCACCGGCUAACUACGUGCCAGCAGCCGCGGUAAUACGUAGGGUGCAAGCGUUGUCCGGAAUUAUUGGGCGUAAAGAGCUCGUAGGCGGUUUGUCGCGUCUGCUGUGAAAAUCCAAGGCUCAACCUUGGACCUGCAGUGGGUACGGGCAGACUAGAGUGCGGUAGGGGAGAUGGGAAUUCCUGGUGUAGCGGUGGAAUGCGCAGAUAUCAGGAGGAACACCAAUGGCGAAGGCACAUCUCUGGGCCGUAACUGACGCUGAGGAGCGAAAGCGUGGGGAGCGAACAGGAUUAGAUACCCUGUAGUCCACGCCGUAAACGGUGGGUGCUAGUUGUGGGCCACAUUCCACGUGGUCCGUGACGAAGUUAACACAUUAAGCACC
rnacentral:rRNA from 1 species